AGAAAUUAGUCAGAGAAGGGCAAACUUCAUGUGGCUUCAUUCAUAUGAGGCCUUUAAGAGACAAAACAGAUGAACAUAAGGGAAGGGAAACAAAAAUAAUAUAAAAAAAGGGAGGGGGACAAAACAGAAGAGACUCAUAAAUAUGGGGA